rnacentral:rRNA from 1 species
UACGGGAGGCAGCAGUGGGGAAUAUUGCACAAUGGGCGCAAGCCUGAUGCAGCCAUGCCGCGUGUAUGAAGAAGGCCUUCGGGUUGUAAAGUACUUUCAGUCGUGAGGAAGGUGUUAAGGUUAAUAACCUUAGCAAUUGACGUUAGCGACAGAAGAAGCACCGGCUAACUCCGUGCCAGCAGCCGCGGUAAUACGGAGGGUGCGAGCGUUAAUCGGAAUUACUGGGCGUAAAGGGCACGCAGGCGGUUAAUUAAGUUGGAUGUGAAAUCCCCGGGCUUAACCUGGGAAUGGCAUUCAAGACUGGUUAGCUAGAGUCUUGUAGAGGGGGUAGAAUUCCAUGUGUAGCGGUGAAAUGCGUAGAGAUGUGGAGGAAUACCGGUGGCGAAGGCGGCCCCUGGGACAAAGACUGACGCUCAUGUGCGAAAGCGUGGGGAGCAAA